UACAGGUGGAUGAGGAGAGAAUCCUAAGGCCGGCGGAAGAAGCAUUGUCAAGGAACUCGGCAAAAUGACCCCGUAACUUCGGGAGAAGGGGUGCCUGCGAGAGCAGGCCGCAGAGAAUAGGCUCAAGCAACUGUUUAGCAAAAACACAGGUCUAUGCGAAACCGAAAGGUGAGGUAUAUGGGCUGACGCCUGCCCGGUGCUGGAAGGUUAAGAGGAGAGGUUAGCGCAAGCGAAGCUUUGAAUUUAAGCCCCAGUAAACGGCGGCCGUAACAAUAACGGUCCUAAGGUAGCGAAAUUCCUUGUCGGGUAAGUUCCGACCCGCACGAAAGGCGUAAUGAUUUGAGCGCUGUCUCGACAAUGCAUCCGGUGAAAUUGAAGUACCAGUGAAGAUGCUGGUUACCUGCGCCAGGACGGAAAGACCCCAUGGAGCUUUACUCCAGUUUGGUACUGGGAUCCGGUACUGCAUGUACAGGAUAGGUGGGAGGCUGAGAAUCGGUAACGCCAGUUGCCGAGGAGCCGCUGUUGGGAUACCACCCUUGCAGUAUUGGGUUUCUAACCAGCCGCCGUGACCCGGCGGUGGGACAAUGCCAGACGGGGAGUUUGACUGGGGCGGUCGCCUCCGAAAGGGUAUCGGAGGCGCCCAAAGGUUCCCUCAGGAUGGACGGAAACCAUCCAAAGAGUGCAAAGGCAGAAGGGAGCUUGACUGCGACACCGACGGGUGGAGCAGGUACGAAAGUAGGGCUUAGUGAUCCGGUGGUAUUAAGUGGGAAUGCCAUCGCUCAACGGAUAAAAGCUACCCUGGGGAUAACAGGCUUAUCACUCCCAAGAGUUCACAUCGACGGAGUGGUUUGGCACCUCGAUGUCGGCUCAUCGCAUCCUGGGGCUGUAGUAGGUCCCAAGGGUUGGGCUGUUCGCCCAUUAAAGCGGUACGCGAGCUGGGUUCAGAACGUCGUGAGACAGUUCGGUCCCUAUCCGGCGUGGGCGUAGGAUAUCUGAGAGGAGCUGUCCUUAGUACGAGAGGACCGGGAUGGACGGGCCGCUGGUGCACCGGUUAGACUGCCAAGUCUAUAGCCGGGUAGCCAAGCCCGGAAGGGAUAAACGCUGAAGGCAUCUAAGCGUGAAGCCCCCCUCAAGAUGAGAUAUCCCAUCCGAAAGGAGUAAACCCCCUUGAAGACGACGAGGUCGAUAGGGCAGGGGUGGAAGUGUGGUAACACAUGGAGCUGACUGCUACUAAUAGGGUGAGGGCUUGAUCAA
rnacentral:rRNA from 1 species